AACAAAUACAAAGCGAUCAUUAAAUUAUACGCUAACUAUCAUGCUAGUGCGUAGUUUCGUGGUUAUAUGCCGCUCAACUUGAGAUUAGUUGGACGAUCUACAACAAUUCUCUCUAAAAACCAAACUAACGGAAGAAUUUUUGAGGCGUGUAGCACAAACGCAGCACUAACGAUUGAAUAUAAAUAUUUCAAUAUUUUAAGAAUAGAUUCGCCCAACUUCUCGUACAUUAUGACGUCACAUGUGACGAUUUUUCUAGGAGAAAAUUCUAAAUAUACAAACUGUAAUAGCAAACAAUCUUCUUUUAAUGUUAACGUUUGCUUUAGCUUAUUGCGAUUACAUGAAAACUCGGUAAGGAGGCCUUGUAUCUAAAUGUAGUGCCUACCACCGGUCGCCGAAUUCUUGUGAUCGGUCGUUAGGUGAGGAUAAGGUUCAACAACCCUGGCCUGAAAUACUCCCGAAAAGACUUAAAGCAUGAAACCUGGGAAAGAAUAUUCUUCAGAAUGGAAGAAUAGAAC
rnacentral:lncRNA from 1 species